rnacentral:rRNA from 1 species
UACGAAGGGGGCUAGCGUUGUUCGGAAUUACUGGGCGUAAAGCGCGCGCAGGCGGUCUUCCAAGUCAGUGGUGAAAGCCCGGAGCUCAACUCCGGAACUGCCAUUGAAACUGUUGGACUUGAGUACGAGAGAGGUGAGUGGAAUUCCCAGUGUAGAGGUGAAAUUCGUAGAUAUUGGGAAGAACACCGGUGGCGAAGGCGGCUCACUGGCUCGUAACUGACGCUCAGGCACGACAGCGUGGGGAUCAAACAGG